UGAGCUGGGGCUCAGUGGUAGAGCAUGUGCUUAGCAGGCAUGAGGCCCUGAGUUCCAUCCCCAGCACCACCA
rnacentral:tRNA from 1 species